UUUCCGUAGGUGAACCUGCGGAAGGAUCAUUAUUGUAUAACCGAAGUGCUAGGACUGUCGCUUACCCGAAAGGUCGUGCACGGCCGACUGCCCUCACACACAUCCAUCUCACCCCUAUGUGCACCACCGCGUGGGUCCCCCUUUGGCUUGUUCGGAGGGGGGCUUACGUUUUCACACAAACUUUGUAUGCAGUGUAGAAUGUAUUUUUUGUUUUUGCGAUAACGCAAUCAAUACAACUUUCAACAACGGAUCUCUUGGCUCUC
rnacentral:misc_RNA from 1 species